UGCGUAGGCGGAUUAAUAAGUCAGUGGUGAAAUCCCGGGCUCAACCGGGGAACUGCCAUUGAUACUGUUAGUCUAGAGUUUAGAUGAAGUGGGCGGAAUGUAGCAUGUAGCGGUGAAAUGCUUAGAUAUGCUACAGAACACCGAUUGCGAAGGCAGCUCACUAAGCUAAAACUGACGCUCAUGCACGAAAGCGUGGGGAUCAAACAGGAUUAGAUACCCUGGUAGUCC
rnacentral:rRNA from 1 species